GGAUUAAGAGCUUGCUCUUAUGAAGUUAGCGGCGGACGGGUGAGUAACACGUGGGUAACCUGCCCAUAAGACUGGGAUAACUCCGGGAAACCGGGGCUAAUACCGGAUAACAUUUUGAACCGCAUGGUUCGAAAUUGAAAGGCGGCUUCGGCUGUCACUUAUGGAUGGACCCGCGUCGCAUUAGCUAGUUGGUGAGGUAACGGCUCACCAAGGCAACGAUGCGUAGCCGACCUGAGAGGGUGAUCGGCCACACUGGGACUGAGACACGGCCCAGACUCCUACGGGAGGCAGCAGUAGGGAAUCUUCCGCAAUGGACGAAAGUCUGACGGAGCAACGCCGCGUGAGUGAUGAAGGCUUUCGGGUCGUAAAACUCUGUUGUUAGGGAAAACAAGUGCUAGUUGAAUAAGCUGGCACCUUGACGGUACUAACCAGAAAGCCACGGCUAACUACGUGCAGC
rnacentral:rRNA from 1 species